AUUGGUGAAUGUUCGGUAUGGGAGUCGAAAAAUGGUGACUUCCGAACGGGGAAAAAUUCAUAUCUUCUCAUUAUAAAUCCUAAAAGAAAUUCCAACAUAUAAUGAAAAAUAAUACUUUAAAUUAUUUUCAUUUAGUUACAAAAAUGUGAACACAAGAAAGUGAAAUUUCAAUUUAAGUAAUGUAUAGAAAUGAUUGCAUUUGAGAUAUUUUGAGUGGAAGUAACUGGAUCUUUUCUAGUGCUAGUUCUGCCAUAAGACUAUUAAAUCACAUAAACUCAAAUCAUAGAUUUUUUUGAAAUAAUAGCUUGAACAAAGACCCGGCUAAGUAUGUGACAAUAAAUUGACAUUCAGUAACUGUUCCAGGAUAUGCAAACUACUGAGGAAGAUUCUCUGUUAAAUGAAUUGACACGGUAUUUAUUCUUGGUGAAGGUCUCCAUAAUGGCUUGUUGGCAUUAUUAUUGAAGAAUGUUCAUCUACGCCUUCGAAGAAUUAUGCAGCUUCAAAUGAAUGAAGCAUCGCCACAUGGAGUUAGACAAUCUGUAAAUUUUCAUAAACGAUGGAUAGCAAGGAGUAGUCCUAUUGAGUGACCUCCAAGAUCUCCGGAUUUGACAGCGCCGGAUUUUUUCUUAGGGGGAUAUGUGAAAGAUUUUGUUUUUAAGUUACCUCCGACAAAUAAAAAAUAAAUAAAUUACAUAUUUUGUAAUUAUUAUUUUUUAUCUUCUUUUGUUAUUGCCAUUUUUCUUAAGUAGUAUGUACCUCAUGUAUUAUAAUGGUCGGUUGAAAAUAGAUAAUACAUUUGUAAUAUA